rnacentral:rRNA from 1 species
CAGUAGCCACGGGAAUACAGAGGGUGCAAGCGUUAAUCGGAAUUACUGGGCGUAAAGCGCGCGUAGGUGGUUCGCCAAGUUGGAUGUGAAAUCCCCGGGCUCAACCUGGGAACUGCAUCCAAAACUGGCGAGCUAGAGUAUGGUAGAGGGUGGUGGAAUUUCCUGUGUAGCGGUGAAAUGCGUAGAUAUAGGAAGGAACAUCAGUGGCGAAGGCGACCACCUGGUCUGAUACUGACACUGAGGUGCGAAAGCGUGGGGAGCAAACAGGAUUAGAUACCCGAGUAGUCCCUGUCUCUUAUAC